CGCUUCUGAUUAACCAGUCUGAUAUCAUUAGCAGCAAGGACAAACAAGCUAACUGUCCCAUUUUUUUCAUUAAAUUGUUGUUGACUUUAUAUAAUCGAUGAGACGAGUUCCCGAAGCUGCGCCAGCAGAGCGGAUAUUUCCAUCUGCUCCGCGGUGGCGUCCUGCCACUGCUGCGCCCCCAUUCCAAAUCCAUUCCCACCGUUAGCUUAACAGUACUUGACAGUGUGUGUGAGACUGAUCAAAAGCUUGGAAGACACUCAGCAGCCCGACAUUUCUGUGUUCUUCUGUGCAAGAGGUGCUUAGAUUGACACUAAAAUGAGAAAAGCUGGGUUAGGCAAUUUUUUUAGAACCAUUCUGGUAAUAUUUGGUGAAAUACUCUUUACGUUUAUCUAUCAGUAAAUCAAAUGCUCUGAGAAAAAGUCCAAUUUCUGUGGCUUCCUCUUGAUGCAGUCUGGUCUUCAGUGAAGGUUUACCCUUUAAAGGAGGGCUGGGAGCAGCCAAUACUGGUCCAGAUUUUCUCAAAAUUAAGGCCAACUGCUGUUGAACGACUGCUCAACCUUGGUCCAUCUUCAAAAUCUGAGCCAACAGCUGGAGAAGGACAGCUUGACCUUGCUACAGCUGACACUGCCACAUCAGCAGAGGGACCUGUUGAACAACUGUAGGCCCACAGUCCCCUGCAGCUGUUCAAUACACAUCUCAAGCUUACUAACCCGUGUCUUGAGUUCAGAGCAGGCCAAGCAGGAGGUAAUUUGGCGGGAUAAGGGUGAGGGAGUUUUGCAGUUUGGGGUUGAUGCAGCCUGUGGGCUGGGGAAGCUGGUGGAGGCAGAGCUGGUUUUGGGAGCACUGGGGAGGGAAGGGGGGUUCUGGAUUGGACCAUUCACCUGGUGCUUCACUCCCGCCAGGUCCAGUGUGUAAUAUGUGUGGUAUGCAGCGGCCUCUAACGGUGAGGUUCUAGAUUGAAGCGCUCCACCGCUCACCCCUCCCCUCCCUAAGACUUUGGAGAUGUUCCAGAAGCUACGGUGGCCUUCAAGGACAAGAAGCUGUUUGCUGAAGAUGUCAUCGUCCACGACAGCUUUGAGCCUUUCUAACAAGUCAAGUGACGAGAGUCAAGUGCUGAAGGUUAAAGAGAGAGGAAGGAGAGGAAGAGGUGCUGCUGCAGGCAGGGCCAGGCGAAGCAGGGGAAGAGGCUGGAAACCCUCCGAAGGGACCGAAAGAAAGCGACUGAGAGACUUCUUGAAGAGAUGACCUUGGAGGAGCACAGGCAGCUCACCAGUGAACUGCUUCAGAGGCAGCCAGGGUUAAUGUUUGAUGCCUUGAUGAUGCAUCAGUGCAGGCAUGGUGUCCCACCGUUUGCUGGAGUGCCAGGGGUACCAUGGUGUACUUGUAGUAACUGUACAGACAUGCCUACGGACCGGGAGAGGAAAUGCUGGGGCCAGUACCCUGCAGAUUGUGUAAUAAUAAUACUGUACUUCUCCCAGUACUGUCUUGAAGAUGCCUUUUUUGCAUUCACAGGCGGUACUGAGAGGACAUUAUGGUAUUAGGCCAAACGAGGAAACCUGGGGAUGACAACCAGGAGUACCAAUAUGCUGCCUGUAGACAUUUCAUCUGUUGACAGCAUGGCUCUUUAGGCCAGAGAAACCGACUUGUCAUCCCCAGUUGCUGUCACACUGGUUUCACACCUGGCCUCUGAGUUUCCCUCCAGGUCCUCUGGAACGUCCACAUAGUAUCUGAGGUACUCACACACCUGCCUGUUCAUCAUCAAGGCAUCAAAUCAUCUCAUAUUUAUCUGUUACAUUUGUGAAAGAAAACUGAAUAAUAGGUUAUAUACAUGUUUCAGAUAGUGUUUAAGUUCAGUUUAGUGUUAGUUUGUGUUUCACACAUGUUGCAUGUCUAUUCUAAACUUAGUUCUUAGCUGUGUAAGAUGAAGCAGUAGAGUGUUUAACAGUUAAGUUUAUUCUGUUGUACUUUUACCUGAGCCAGUGAUAAAAUAAACUAUAGUUAUGUAGAUGUU